rnacentral:misc_RNA from 1 species
UUUGAGGGAGUGCCUAAAGUUCCAAGCUUAUCCUGCAUAAGUGUGUUAUUCAAAAUAAUCUUGAUGUUGCCUGAACGGGUGAUUAAAGUACUAACUAAAGGUGAUUGUCAAAUAAACUGGAGGUGGGUUAAAGGUAUUAUUAAUGGUACUCCAUAUCCUUUUCCUAAUUUGCUUAACUUACACAUUAUCUUGAUCAUGUUUUUGGUGUGUUGUAUGCGGAUAUUUUGUGAUUCUAGUGAAGUUAAAACUUAGCAAUUCAUUCGCUACCAUACCAGUUAUCAAGUAUUAGAGUCAUGUUACAAUUGACUGCAUACAUAAGGAUGUGAGAUUUGUUAUAUUAGCUUCUUAAGAUAAUUCAUUUAGAGACUCUUGCUUUGCCAUUCUUAUGACUGGCUAUUUUUUUUUUUUCCUUUUCUUUUUAUAUUUUUUCUCUUGUGGCUAUUCUUCUGUGUUCGUUGUACCUUCAAUUUGAAGAAAA